UGCAGUCUCAUCUACUUCACAAUCCUGGCGCUGUAGCGUAAGUCCCAUGGCUCUUUGAAUGCAGCACUGUGGAAGAGAUGAAUGGGGAGGCCCCGCCCCUGCUCAAGAAGAGGAGGAGUCACCAGAAACAGUCGGGUCACCACUGGGAUACCUCAACCGACUGUUCACAGGUCCUCUGGCAAAUGCUCCGUUUAUUUCACGUCUGUGAUUAAGCAUCAUAUCGACUCAAACCUGGCUCUGACUACAAAGGCACAGUGCAUCAGUGCACACGGCGAUUACAGCUAAGAUGGGCCAGAAGGAGAUCGUUUGCAGCUGGAAGAAAAGCACCAGUAACAUCAAGGACGUGUUUGACUUCAAGGGGAAGAUGGGCUCG